AUUGAACGCUGGCGGCAGGCUUAACACAUGCAAGUCGAGCGAGCGGCGGACGGGUGAGUAAUGUCUGGGAAACUGCCUGAUGGAGGGGGAUAACUACUGGAACCGGUAGCUAAUACCGCAUACCAUCAGAUGUGCCCAGAUGGGAUUAUCUAGUAGGGGGGGUAAUGCCUCACCUAGGCGACGAUCCCUAGCUGGUCGGAGAGGAUGACCGGCCACAAGGGAACUGAGACAAGGUCCAGACUCCUACGGGAGGCAGCAGUGGGGAAUAUUGCACAAUGGGCGCAAGCCUGAUGCAGCCAUGCCGCGUGUGGGAAGAAGGCCUUCGGGGUGUAAAGCACUUUCAGCGAGGAGGCGUUACUCGCAGAAGAAGCACCGGCUAACUCCGUGCCAGCAGCCGCGGUAAUUC
rnacentral:rRNA from 1 species